GUCCCUGUAGCGCAAUGGAUAGCGCGUUGGACUUCUAAUCCAAAGGUCGUGGGUUCGAAUUCCACCUGGGAUG
rnacentral:tRNA from 1 species